rnacentral:rRNA from 1 species
ACAGCGAAACUGCGAAUGGCUCAUUAUAUAAGUUAUCGUUUAUUUGAUAGUACCUUACUACUUGGAUAACCGUGGUAAUUCUAGAGCUAAUACAUGCUAAAAAUCCCGACUUCGGAAGGGAUGUAUUUAUUAGAUUAAAAACCAAUGCCCUCUGGGCUCCUUGGUGAUUCAUGAUAACUUCUCGAAUCGCACGGCCUUGCGCCGGCGAUGGUUCAUUCAAAUUUCUUCCCUAUCAACUUUCGAUGUUUGGGUAGUGGCCAAACAUGGUUGCAACGGGUAACGGAGGGUUAGGGCUCGACCCCGGAGAAGGAGCCUGAGAAACGGCUACUACAUCCAAGGAAGGCAGCAGGCGCGCAAAUUACCCAAUCCCGAUUCGGGGAGGUAGUGACAAUAAAUACUGAUACAGGGCUCUUUUGGGUCUUGUAAUUGGAAUGAGUACAAUUUAAAUCCCUUAACGAGGAACAAUUGGAGGGCAAGUCUGGUGCCAGCAGCCGCGGUAAUUCCAGCUCCAAUAGCGUAUAUUAAAGUUGUUGUGGUUAAAAAGCUCGUAGUUGAACCUUGGGCCUGGCUGGCCGGUCCGCCUCACCGCGUGUACUGGUCCGGCCGGGCCUUUCCCUCUGUGGAACCCCAUGCCCUUCACUGGGCGUGGCGGGGAAACAGGACUUUUACUUUGAAAAAAUUAGAGUGCUCCAGGCAGGCCUAUGCUCGAAUACAUUAGCAUGGAAUAAUAAAAUAGGACGUGCGGUUCUAUUUUGUUGGUUUCUAGGACCGCCGUAAUGAUUAAUAGGGACAGUCGGGGGCAUCAGUAUUCAAUUGUCAGAGGUGAAAUUCUUGGAUUUAUUGAAGACUAACUACUGCGAAAGCAUUUGCCAAGGAUGUUUUCAUUAAUCAGGAACGAAAGUUAGGGGAUCGAAGACGAUCAGAUACCGUCGUAGUCUUAACCAUAAACUAUGCCGACUAGGGAUCGGACGAUGUUAAAUUUUGACUCGUUCGGCACCUUACGAGAAAUCAAAGUGCUUGGGCUCCAGGGGGAGUAUGGUCGCAAGGCUGAAACUUAAAGAAAUUGACGGAAGGGCACCACCAGGGGUGGAGCCUGCGGCUUAAUUUGACUCAACACGGGGAAACUCACCAGGUCCAGACACAAUGAGGAUUGACAGAUUGAGAGCUCUUUCUUGAUUUUGUGGGUGGUGGUGCAUGGCCGUUCUUAGUUGGUGGAGUGAUUUGUCUGCUUAAUUGCGAUAACGAACGAGACCUUAACCUGCUAAAUAGCCCGUAUUGCUUUGGCAGUACGCCGGCUCUA